CGCGUCUGGCUCGUCCACCCGCCGCGGCGCAGCCUAGGUGAAGCUCGCGAAGACAGGCGGUUCUGAUUAGCGCACGCCAAGUCCUUAGGGCGGUUGCUCGGCGUAUUUAACGUGAAAUGGGGUCACUCGGCCGCGUAGAGGCUCAGAGACUGGGGGUCGGAAAAGGGGGAGAAGACUCAAUAUGUGGAGGGGUGAGAAGGGUUCCAGGUCUUUAAGGGAUCUCAGUGGGGAGCCGAGAGCGGGAAUUGGGGAGUGAGCUCUUGACAUUGAGCUCACAGUGCCUCUACACACCCCAGGGACUUAAUAGGGACCUGCAUGACCUUGGGAACAAACCCACUGAUUGAGGAUCCCAUGGGACCGGCCACUGAAGAGCUGGCCUCGGCCUCUUGGGGGCAUACAGAACUUCAGGUUCUGGCUGAACUUCCUGGAGAGCCCUGACUUCACUCUUCUCCAAUGUAGCUGGUGAGAAGGGAAGAGGUGAAGGCUUAGGGUGUGUCAUAGGACAGUGUGGGUCGAUUUCUUUCAUGCCAAAUCCAUCAUGCGUGAUGCCAGCACUUCAGAUGACCGCCUUUAGAAGCCACAGUACGAGCCAGCUUUCCUCUCUAAAGAACACAGGCAACUUGAAAUAAGAACUAUAAAAAUGCUCGUGUGUUUUGACAUCUGAAGAGUAAAACAAUUUUUUUCUCUCAAGAAAUUGAUAUCAUAGUAAACGAUUGAAAACAGUUUCGCUGUGCUGUUAAAAUUGGCCAGAGCGAAAACGGCAUCAACACCUGGACUUGUGUUUAUCAAGCCGUGGUAAGUGAGAAGAGCAGAACAACGAAGUACAUGCCCUCCGCGUCUCUCUAUAAAAACACACGCUCACCCACUUCACAGCUAAACAAGAAGUUACAUUCGUGCAAAUUGAAUCUCAUCUGCUGUAGCCUUGCCUGAGCAACGUCCAAAAAUUGACAAAAGAGAAGAGAGGGAAGGUCUCAUCACUGAGGAGAGAAAACCGGUUUUGGACAUGCUUUAAUUUGUCUGAGGUCAAAGCGAGGAGACUAACUAUCCUGAAUUAAAGGUGGUAAAGCUUGCCUCAUUUGGCCUUAAGAUAAGUCCAUGCUUGGGGUCCGAAAGGCAUGCUUAUUUCUCAGCUAAUUUCACUUUGUUGUAUUUGAGAUCUUUCUCAAGGCAGAAGUGCCUACACGUGACAAUGUGUUUGUGUUAAAUGAGAUGCUGUAGCAUAAAUGACAUGGAAGAUUUGAAUUUAUUAGCUUUGUUCUAUUAGUUAUAAAAGGUUAACAAACAUCCGAGUUUUAAAAGAUAAACCGAAGGGCGAGAGACUGGCCUCUUAUUUCCCGAUGCUCUAUGGGCCUACUGCAGUCAGGAAUAAAUAGUAAGCUGCCCAUCUUAGGACCUGCAGCCAGGGCUGUUUGAUCUGCAGGGUGAGCAUCCACUGGUAUGUACGUGAGCUCUGUGGAGGAGCCACGGUGAGAGGAGAACUGUUAUGUAAUUAUAGCAUCCAUAGCGUCCGACGCGCCUCCCAGCCCAGCCUAAUACUUUGUACUGUGAAGUGGGCGUCAUCAGGAUAGUGAGAAUUAAUUAAUGUUUAUGAAGACCUGUCCAGAUUCAUGGGAGGAAAGUGCUUUACAGGUAGAGUGGUGCAGUGUUUGGGAAAAGAUGUCCUCUUUUUCCUAAACUGCAGGUUGGAGAGAAGCCUUGUCAUUUCAAAGUCAACCUUCAUUUAAAAAUUUUUUUUUGUUUUUUGAAAAUUUUGGGUGGAUUACUUACCUUAUGAGUCAGAUUUAUCUGGAGUGUUUUGCCCUCAUAAAACUUAAAGACUUGAUGUUUGACAGGGCUUAAUGCAUGUCAGAUACUGUCAUUCUCAUCAGUGACACAUAGAGUUGAUGCCCAGCACACACAUGCUUUCACACCACUUCUUUAUAGUGUGUAUAGUAAACAAAUUACAGUAUAUAAAUACAGUAGUUUAUAGUUCAGGAGUAACUGAUACCUAAGCACAAAACAACACAUUUUGAAUUAUUUGAAUUAAAUGAAUCACAUUUGAA